rnacentral:tRNA from 1 species
ACCCGGCUAUCUUAAUCGGUAGAGCGUGAGACUCCUAAUUCCAGGAUCGUGAGUUCGGCCCUCACGUUGGGUG